UACGGGGGGGGCAAGCGUUGUUCGGAAUUACUGGGCGUAAAGGGCUCGUAGGCGGACUGGUAAGUCUGAUGUGAAAUCUCCAUCGCUCAACGAGGAGAGGUCAUUGGAAACUGCCAGUCUGGAGUACGGUAGAGGACCAUGGAAUUCCAGGUGUAGCGGUGGAAUGCGUAGAUAUCUGGAAGAACACCAAUGGCGAAGGCAGCUCUCUGGGACGGUACUGACGCUGAGACGCGAAAGCGUGGGGAGCGAACAGG
rnacentral:rRNA from 1 species